UUCAAUACUAUUGCAGCAAUGUAAUGGUGUGCACUUCUCUCUUAGUAAGACGUUGUGAUCCAUUAGGAAUUGAUUAUCGAAUUUGAUAAUUAUUGGGCUAUCAAUAGUCUGGUAUUGAAGUUCAUAAUGACAAAUAAUAUGGUCGUUACAUGGCUAUAUAUAUUGUCUUGUGAGCAUAUCAUGUACUGGUAUAGCUGCCUUAUGGAUUUUAUAGGUCAUAAUAAUUAAUAUAUUUAUAUAUUACCCAUUUAUUUGGGAUCAUUUAUUAUGUACCCGAUCAACAACGGUUUCAUUUGGGAUACCUUUGGGACCCGUCUUGAAACACGGACCAAGGAGUCUAUCUAGUAUGCAAGUAAAUGGGAUAUUAAAACCUAUUUGCGUAAAUAACUUGACUGUUAUUAUGGGAUUACGAGUAAUUUUUAUAUUAUUCCUCCAUCCCGGGGUAUUUUCAUAAUAUAUAUGGAGGGUUUACUUUCUAUAUAUAGAAAAUAUACCAUGAGCAUACUGGAUAUGACCCGAAAGAUGGUGAACUAUGCCUGAUCAGGUUGAAGUCAGGGGAAACCCUGAUGGAGGACCGAAGCAAUUCUGACGUGCAAAUCG
rnacentral:rRNA from 1 species